rnacentral:lncRNA from 1 species
AGGAGUUGAAGGAUUUGUCACAUCUGCGGGGGGAGAUAUGUAUUUCAAAAUUGGAAAAUGUUGUGGAUGUUCAAGAUGCUAGAGAUGCCAAUCUAAAAGCUAAGCUCAAUGUUGAAAGGUUGAGUAUGAUUUGGAGUAAAGAAUUGGAUGGUUCACAUGAUGAAGACGCUGAAAUGGAAGUCCUUCUCUCUCUACAACCUCAUACUAGUUUGAAGAAACUCAAUAUUGAAGGUUACGGUGGUCGGCAAUUCCCCAACUGGAUAUGUGAUCCCUCUUACAUUAAAUUGGUGGAGUUAAGUCUUAUUGGUUGUAUAAGAUGCAUAUCAGUACCUUCGGUUGGGCAACUACCCUUCCUCAAGAAGUUAGUCAUCAAAAGAAUGGAUGGAGUGAAAAGUGUGGGGCUGGAGUUUGAGGGCCAAGUUUCUCUUCAUGCUAAGCCUUUCCAAUGCUUAGAGUCUUUGUGGUUUGAGGACAUGAAGGAAUGGGAAGACUGGUGUUGGUCAACAAAGUCAUUUUCUCGCCUCCGUCUGUUGGAGAUAAAAAAUUGUCCAAGAUUGAUUAAGAAAUCACCCACACACCCAACUUCUCUAGUAAAGCUCAGUAUUGAGAAUUGUCCAGAAAUGAUGGUUCCACUUCCAACAUACUUGCCUUCUCUUGAAGAGCUCAAUAUCUAUUAUUGCCCAGAAAUGACGCCACAAUUUACAACCAUGAAUUUCUCAUUAUGCUACUGAGGGGAGCUUAAUAUCAGGGCUUUCCAGACUUCAGCCGGAGUUUAUGCCGUCCCUGCUGAGGCUUGAACUUCCAGAAAUUGACAAUUCUGGUCAGUUGCAAUGUUUGUGGAAGGAUGGUUUGGGAAUAGGAAACCUCUCUGGUCUUCGAAUAUUGGGUUGUAAACGACUUGUAUCCUUUGGAGAGGAGGAAGAGCAAGUUAUAAUACAUCUCUUGCAGAGUUGAUCAUCGAGCAAGUUAUAAUGCUUAGAGGUCUUGCUAUUUCUAAUUGUGAAAGUCUAAGUAGUCUACUUGAUAGGAUGAUGAUGAGAAACAGCAGCAACAACGUGUGUCACCUUGAAUACUUGGAGAUAGAGGAGUGUCCAUCUCUUAUUUGCUUUCCACAAGGGCGGUUACCCACCACCCUUAGGCGACUAUUCAUAUCCAUUGUGAAAAUCUAGUGUCUCUUCCAGAAGACAUCGAUGUGUGUUCCCUUGAAUAGUUAAUUAUAAAGAGUUGUCCAUCUCUCAUUGGUUUUCCAAAAGGAUAGUGGGCUGUAAAAAGCUAGUCUCUGAAAGUUUGUAUCAGGAAGAUGAAAAUCUAGUUUCUGUAUAUUAAGAGGAAGAAAUUACAUGUCAUGGAGAGGUUCUCUACUCUGCUAUUUAUAUUUUCUACUGUAACAAACUACGUUACCAAACUCCUACUUGCACAGUUCAAACUACAUUACCAGAUUCCCAACUACUUGCACAGUUCUUGAGUGAUCUUGGUUUUGUUGAGUUCUGUUGCUGGUGCAGUUGUGGUCUAUCAGUCUCUACCAGAAGGAAUAGUGCAUCACCAUUCCAACAACACAACCAAUUGCGGUCUUCAAAUCUUGGAUAUCUUUCAAGGUUCAUCUCUCGCAUCCUUUUCUACUGGCAAGUUUCCCUCUACCCGUAAAUCUAUUACGAUGGAUAAUUGUGCACAGUUGCAGCCAAUUUCAGAGGAGAUGUUUCACUGUAAUAAUAAUGCACUUGAAGAGUUGUUCAUCUCGAGAGUCCCUAAUCUUAAAAUCAUACCAGAUUGCUUCUACAACCUCAAAGAUGUUCGGAUUGAAAAAUGUGAGAAUCUGGACUUGCAGCCUCAUCUAUUGCGAAACCUCACUUCUCUUGCAUCACUUCAGAUCACUAAUUGUCAGAAUAUCAAAGUGCCCUUAUCAGAAUGGGGCCUUGCCAGGUUGACCUCUCUUAGAACUCUUACUAUUGGUGGCAUAUUUCAGGAAGCCACCUCCUUUUCUAAUCAUCACCACCACCACUUGUUUCUUCUUCCUACUACUCUAGUUGAGCUUUGCAUUUCAAGUUUCCAGAAUCUGGAAUCCUUGGCCUUCCUGUCUCUCCAAACGCUCACCUCUCUUAGAAAGCUAUAUGUCUUCCAAUGUCCUAAGCUCCAGUCGUUUAUACCAAGGGAUGGGCUGGCUGACAUGCUUUCAGAACUGUAUAUAAGAGACUGCCCACUCCUAAUUCAAAGGUUCUCCAAAGAGAAAGGGGAACAUUGGCUCAAGUUUGCCCACAUCCCCUGUGUGAAAAUUGAUGGCAAAUUGAUCCUUGAGCAAUAAGAAGUUGGGAUUGCAGCAAAAUGAACGCAGAGACCACCACUAUAUAUAAAUGCUUGGUAUUUUUCUUCAAUCUGCCACAAUUACUUGUUUCAUUUGUUUAAUUGAAUUGUCUCACAUGUCUUCCACAGUUGAAACUCAUCCAAUGGAAAACAUUCUCCUUCAACAAUGACUGGUUGCUAUCCAUGCCUGUCAUUAGAUUGCAUAUCUACACAACACACAUAGGCUAUUAAUUCCCUUUCUAUUAGAAUCAAGUACGCCCAUUCAUUAUAAGUAACUUUUAUGUUCUUAAGAAUUAGUUUCAAAAUGUUCAUUUUAAAGGAAUUCCAUUUCGUGCAUGUAGGGUGUGAAGGAGAAGAUAAUGCAAAUUGUGCAUCUCAAUUGCAUUGUCCUCAAUAAGCUUUCUUUUUCCAUAUAUCUCUGUAUAAAAUUCUGCCUUUUUUUUUCCUUACGUAUUCAUAGAUGUGCAUUUAUCAACAUAGGCCGUGUUCUUAAUGCUUUUAAACCUAUGACUUCACAUUUUUCCAUCACAGGAUUCUACCAUGUCUUUAUAAUUUUCCAUUUAUCAACAUGAUCUUUGUUCAACUUACAGGUUGUUCAAGUGAGUGAUAAAGAAUACAAAUGGUUAGAUAUCACUUUUUUCUUUGUUCUCUUGAUUGCACUGCAUCUUUAUUUGGAAUUGGAUAUUUCUCUUUGUAACUUGUUUUUCUUGGGGUUUUUAAUUACAUUCCUUCUUACAAUAAGUCAGGAUUAGCCUUUUCUCUAAUUGUUCUUCUUCUUGGUCUUUUCCUCAGUUAAUGUAAGCAUCAAAUUUCUACCUCUUUGUUAUAUCUGUAGAUAAUUUUCUGGUUUGAAUUAUACAGCACACUUAAAUAAUUCAAAGUUGCAGGAGUCUUGCUGGCUCACAAAUUACCAUCUCAUGUGAUUCUGAAGAAACGAAAUCUGCAUCUUGAGAUACAAUGAGCUAUGAUCAUUCUUACCUUUUUAAAGCUUCUUCAUUUGUAUAAUGUGUUCUGAUGGCAUUUACUUUUUCUCAUUACACAUGCAUGAGGAAGAUUUUAUGACUUCCAUUAUAAGUUUUCAAUAGCUAUAUUUGCAUUUCAUUUGAUUUCAAGUAGAUGCAGGGGCAAAAAUUCUUUUGUAUGUUUCUUGACGUUUGGCACUUAAAAACUCUACACUGGUGUUUGGUGUUGAAAAAGGGGUACUUCAUGCAGAAUAAUGAAAGUAUAAAUAGUUCUUUACUAUCAAAAAAGGCUUCAUGGUUGUUAAGAUCCAUCUAAUUCUUUGUCCUUUCAUUGACAUGUUCUUCAACUUGUGGAAGACUUGGAAGGGAGAGCUUGAAUCAAAUUAAGCCAACACCUUGCAAAAGAUGAAUUCUGGCUAAGAAACCUCACCACUCACAAGUUCUUUGUUAUCCAAGAAUUCUACAGCAGGUAAUUCUAGAUUAUGGUCUCAUCUUUGUAUUUCUUGAUGCUGAUGCAGUCACUGAUUUCACUCUCGUGUUUUCAUCUGAUGGUGACAAAGUCUUCCUCUUCUACACAGCCAUUAUGUUAUAAUAAUCAGAGCUCUGUCUUGCUCAAGUUCAACCAGGGCUUUCUGACUGGUCAGCAUGCUUCUGAUGAUCCUUCUGCUUAUCCAAAAGUUGCAGCUUGGAAAUGUGAAGGCAAAGGUUGUGAUUGCUGAGAGUGUGACAAGGACACUGACCAUGUGAUUGGCCUUAACCUUGCCAGCAGCUGUCUCUAUGGUUCUAUCAACUGCAGCAGCACCCUCUUCCAUCUUGUGCAUCUUCAAGGGCUUGAUCUCUCUUAUAAUGAUUUCAGUUACUCUAAGAUCCCAUCUGGAGUUGUCCAGCUUUUGAGUCUAAGAAGUCUAAACCACUAAUCUUCCAGAUUCUCCAGCCAAAUACCAUUGGAGCUCUUAGUGCUGUCCAAACUGGUUGUCCUUGAUCUCUCACAAAAUCCAUUGAAGCACCAGUAACCUGACCUGGCUUCACAUGCAGGGGUGAGAAGCAUUUCCUUCUUGUAAUACAAAAUGCUUUUAGUAAGCUGGUAGUAUCAUUCCUGGUGAAUGGGUGAUUUCCCCUGUCAAUUUGGUACACUUUCAGACUUGAUCUCUUGCAUAUCAUUGGAGAACCUUUAUCUUUUUUCUUUUUCCUCAAUAUUUUGUUUUUAGAAAGAUUUUAACAAAAAGUAUUGUGCAAUUUCAUUUGAAAAAAAUUUCAAAUCCUUUUCUAUGUGAAAUUAUGGAUCUUUAGUGUUCUGCAGACCCCAAAUGUUAGGAAUCUGGUGGUUUAUGUUGGAAUGCAUAAGUUUCUCUUUAAAUCCUUGAACCCAGUGUACCAAUAUCCCAAACAUUUCUUUUUGUUUACAGACAUAUGCUGGAAAUAUGAUAGGGUGAUGAAGGCCAAGGAACCACUUUGGUGUUGGUUUGGAGAUCAAUCACUGAAAGGUUCAGAUGAUUUCUUUUUCUAGUUUCUUCCGAUUUAGGGUAGAUUAAGAGGUAUCCUUAUGGUAGCAAAUUCUUCUGACCUAAAGCUUAAGUGAUCCUUUGGUGAAACAAAACAUAAUCCAGGAACAUUCCCUCCUUCAGUCACUGUUGCUAGCUUUCAGAAGCUGAUAGCAUUUACGGUAAUAAAUAAAUGGGACCCUGCUUUCCAUAGCGAUCAUGUUAGACUAAGAUUUUUUCAUCGACCUCUACAGGUGGCUUAUGCUGAGAAGUAAAAGUCAUUACUCAGGGCAGGUUGCUUUUUGGGGUUUCUGUGAAUGAUGGAUAGACACGAGCUUGCGCAUUUUUUACUGAAGAUGAUGAAUCGAGACUGAAAUCUACUUCCAUUUUUGACAGCCUGAGAAGGUAACAUUUUUCAAGCAAUGGCAUGAAAAAUCUGUGGUGUUGGUCUAUCUUUCCUAAACUAAGUAUUUUGUGAUGAAAGUAGAUUACUACAACUUGUUCUUUGCUUCUGCCAACAAAACUGAUGUGCUGAUCGGAGUUUUAUUCCCUCAUUUAUAUUUGUUUGAGUGUAUUUGUGAUUCAUUCUUGAAUGAUUUUCUUCCCCUUUUACCUGAGUUUACCAAUAUGUUAGACCCUCCCAGGGAACAUGUUCAUACCCUGGAUUGUGGGAGAUAAAAAAAAUAUGUCAUCUUGGCAUACCAGUGUAAAAUUAUUUUAAAUGAAAGCAUGUCAGAUCUUAUAUCUCUAAAAUGAUCUUCUAUUUGCAACUAAAGUAGCCUCAUUUUGACCAUUGUGAGUAAAAUGGGCUUGUUUCAGUUUUUAGAACAAAGCUGAAGAUUCCAUGGGGUCCUCAAUCAAACCCUAAGUUAUCUUAAAGAUGAGGUUUAUAGUGGGUGAGAGGAGGGGUAAUGAUUCAGAAUGUUCUGCCUGUUUGGAGCCAUUUAUGUUUCCCUCUGUUUUUUACACUUUUUUGAAGCUGAAACCGGCAGUGUAAAGAAAUUUAUCUGAUUAGAAUGUCGCCUUCCUCCUCUUUUUUUUAAUCUAAUCAUUUGUCUCUUGCCAUAUAUAUUUAUAUUCAGUUCACAGUUGAAGUAACGUAAAUCACUGAGUGCUGGCUUGCUUCAUACAGACACAUGAAAGUCACUGAAGCUAAAUGAAGGUCGUGUUUUGAUGUUUUCAUGUAAACUUGGAAGGAUCACGAUGUAAUACCUCAAAAUGUGAAGAAGUAAGUAAUAUCUGUCCUCUGCAUGUACAUUUUAGUGUUAAUCAUUUCUCAUUAGUCUCUAGGAUUCUUACUUGAUAGUUAAAGAAGUUCACAUUUCAGUUCUGUCUUGUAGAUCAUGCUUUUGGAAGCUAGUCACAACCCCAAAGCUGGAGUGCUUUUCUAUAUAUGUCCCCUGUGAAAUCCCAAUUCCCAAACAGGUCAUUGCAUAUUGUAUGCCUAUCCUAGAGUUCUAUCAGAUGGGUGGAAAGCCAAUCAUGAAGAAGUAUAAAAACAGGGCUUUCAUAUGUAUAUGGGUUACAACCUGCUGUUCUAUCAGACAAGUGAUCCAAUAGUCCAGAGGAAGGUGGUUGCUGAGAAUGAAUAUGGAAGAGAAUUUAUAGAAAAUUUGGAGUUCAAAAACGUGAGGACCAGAUUACUUGUAGAACUUGAGAAAAAGGCAUAUCAAACCACACUCAAAACAGGUGAAAUAUUAUUUGUCUGAUGAUGUUGACUUGAGACAUUGCUGGAGUAUUGAGGGUCAUCCACUGAAUUCUUAAUGUAAAACACAAGCAAGUUUUGCCUAUAUCAUUCAUGGUUUCUGGAUUUGUUGUUCAUUGUGUUUAUCACGAGUGACUGAGUAAAGCUACCUCUUAUUGUCAACAAAUCAUUUAGAAAUUCAUUUUGUUUUUUUAUUUUUAAUAAUUGAGGAACCUUCCAUAGCCAAGCCCUUAGAACUCUCCUAGGGACCCAAACCUCGUGGUGUUGAUUGUCCUGCUACGACCAGUGCCAGGUAUUGGUGUUUGUAAUUUUGUGUUGGUGUGGUCAAUGUUCUGAAAUUCCAAGUUGAAUUGUAUAAAUACAAAUUAAGAAUGGAUGCUAGCAUUGCGGAAGUGGCCCUAAUGCUAGUGUUGGAGCCUUGGAGGUGAUGUUAGCAAUUAAGAGUAGUGUGAUGAUAUUGUUUUUAAUAUCCGAGGAUUAAUAUAAAUACCUUUUCUUGUAACCCUAAUUUUAGAGUAGUGAAAAUCUUUAACCCUAUUCCCGUGGACGUAGACAUUUUGUCGAAUCACGUUAAAUCUAUAUAUUUUUCUUUUAUUUUUAAAAAUUUCUUCACUAGAAAUUGCUACAAGAAUUACAACAAUUGGUAUCAGAGCACCAGGUUUCGAUGUGUAGGAUUUCUUCUGUGAAGUUUGACAUAGUAAAGCUCGAUGGAUCUAGGAAUUUCGAUCUAUGACUUAGGAGGGGUAAGGAUUUGCUAGUAUAGCAAGAUGUGAUAAAGACAUUAUGUAGAAAGCAACUAAAAGAAAUGAAUGACAUAGAUUAAAAGGAUUUGGAAGCGAAGAUUGUGGUAACUAUUAGGUUUGACUAAUAAUGUGACGUACCAUGUCAUGGAUGAGGAAUCACCGCAACAAUGUGGUAGAACAUGAUUAACUAGCUCUUUUUGGAUAAGGAUUUGGUUUUAGAAUAUAGAGAUUUUUUUUGGCAAGAUCACAACAAUAUGGAAUUGUAGGUGUAUGUGACCAUCAUGCCACAUGUUGGAAUAUUUAUAAAGUAAAACCCUAGAGUUUUUUUUUUAUGGGAGAAUUGUGUUUUAGGCUCAACUGGGCCCAAAAAUUAACAUUUGGUCCUCCAACCAUCCAUAUUUAAGCCCAAGAUCCAAACAAAGUAUGAAAAUUAAGAUGAAGGAUAUUGUCUUUCAUUAAUUCCUAAAAUACCCUUAUCCCUUAUAUGCCUACAAGUGAGUGUGAAUUUUAAUUUUUUUUGUGUUUGUUUUCCUUUUCUAUUCCCUAUUAAAUAUUACUCAUUUCUAACUUUUUUUUUUCCUUUUUAUUUUGAAUAUAUAUUUCUAUUUUAUGUCAAAUAAAAAGCAAUAAUAUUUUUUUAUUUUUCAUUUUUAAAGAUAUUAAAUUUUUUUGCUCUUAUUAAAAGCAAUGAUAAAAAUUUUGGGAUUUUUCAUCCAAAUAUUUUUUUAUCUUUUUGUAUUUAUCUUUUAGUUUAAUUUUCAUUUUUUAUUUUAAAUUUAUAUACCCUUUCAUCUAUAUUUUUCUCUUAUUUUUAAUUAUUUUUUAUAUUUUCUACAUUAACCAUAUUUUAAAAAAAUUUAAAAACUAUCACUUCACUUUAUUAUAUAUAAAGCCAUGGGUCUUAAUAUGCAAGACAACGGAAUCUAAGAUGUCUGCAUCUCUUAUUCUAACUGUGAAGUUAGGAUAGCAUUGGAAAUAGACUGGGUCAUCAUUCAGUCCAGCUUGGACUGCGCCUAUAAUAGAAUCUCGAUAUUCGAGAUGCCUAUUAUCCCUUAAACACAUGACAAUAGAGGUGUUUAAACCUAAUCUUGUCAAAGGCUUAGCUACUACUUGAAUCAUACCAAAGUGUAUGAAAUUAUAGCCAUCUCUCUUAUGCUUAUCAAUGGAUCUGUUAUCUAAAAGUCUUAUGACUUGGUCGUCUUGUUCUAAGUUGACUGACAUUUUAGAGGUCUUAAUGGUAUAAUCUGUGAAGAACUUAAAGGUUCCUUUCUUAUAAAUUUCUUGAUUAGACACCUUGGGUAACUUCCAAUCAUCUAAAUCAUUUUGGAUCUUAGGAUAAUUGAUCUGUUCACUGUUUACAACAGUAUCUUGAGAAUCACUGGAUCUCCUAGACAUGGUUCUGAAAAUUGAACUCAUUUUAGGGUUUUUGAUCUAGAGCCUAAUAGCAGAUUGACAGACCUUAUGAGACGUCACCCCAACCCUCUUACAGCCUAACAAACGCCUAUCCACGGCUAACAACGGCUCAACCGGCAGGGCUCGCGCUCCCAGGCACACUGCUACCUAUCCUAGGAUAGGCCAAGAACACCCAAAACAAGACCCAACUUCCCUCCCACAUGGCUCUGAUACCAUAGACACCCAGGACAAGGUCAUAUGCAAUGAAAACAUAAAUUAUGCCAUGAUUCAAAACAAAGAAGAGGGUUAGAAAAUACAAAAGAUAUCCAACAAAGAAAUUUAAAGAGAAGGAACCAAAAAACUUGUUAGUUCAUAAUAAGCUUAAAACCGACCAUGUAGGCGGUAUAAAAUGAAAACAUAAAAUUAAAAACAAAGCUUAAUUAAAACCGACCAUGUAGGCGGUACAAGAACAUAAAAUGAAAAACAAAACUUAAAAAACCAUCCAUAUAGGAGGUAAUCAAAACAUACUUAUAUUAUACAUAAGGAGAAAUAUCUAACAAUGGACAGGGGUAGGAAAGCUUGAAGAAAGCUUGAAAGCUUGAAGGGCUUACAUGAUGAGAGAGAAAGAAGAGAGAAGGGAGAGCAUAAGCUUAGGAGAGAAAAUUUAAGUGUUCUUACAAAUGAGGACCUUGCCUCCUUAAAUAGGCAAAAAGGAAUCUUGAAUAGUAACCAUGAACAGUAGACCCGUGCUUGAAUAGUGAAUAGUGAAUAAUAAGAUUCACUUUUAUACCGAAAAACCCUCUUUCGGCUGAGAAGACUUCUGGCAAGUUGCUUUAUACUGUGUAGACACAUGCUUGCUCCUUUUGGAACAGAAACUGCAAAGCUUGUAAAAUACUCUUGAUGGAAGACAAAAGGCUGAUGAUUACUUAGAUCUUCUUAUUGGAGGAAGGAUUCCUUCACAGUCAUCACCAUUGUCUGGAAGGUAGCUUGUUGAAUCAUCAGAUUCUGCAUAAGAAUUUUCUUGGGAGAAACUUGAGCUUCCCUCUUCAAGGAUUUUCUGGAAAUCUUGAGGGGUCUUGGCUGCUGCGAGCAUGGCUUGUAACUGUUGCUUUUUAAGGAGGAACUGAGACAUAUCAUCACUGGCUGAGACUUGUGUGGGGUUCUGGAGGAAAUACUGCUUAACUAUAUCAAUAGAUGCAUCAUUUUUUAAGGCAUCCCACCAUUUAGUUUUAAAGGUCCUUCCCAGAGAUGGAAAGGCUGCUGAUUCAUCUAUAAUGAUUAUAUAGUCCCACUGGACUAUCCAAGCAAGGCCAAAUUUGCUGAAGAAGAAUAGUGAAGGGGGAAAAGCUGAAAGUUUCCUAGGGAUAUCAAAAGAACUUCUGAAUAGCUCAAAGCCAUCCAGGAUGGGCUUAGGAAGAAUCUUAAUAGUCGAACCAUAAUAAUUCCACCAACUGUAGAACCAAAAUGGGAAAGAGGAAAGCUGAUUCUUAGAUGGAAAAUAGAAUAUCCAUGAAUAAUGGAAGUCCCUAUUCUGGAUCAGAAAAACAUUAAACCAUGCUCUCUGAUAAUCCCAAUAAUUAAAAAACCUUGGCUUUGAUGGUUCAGAAAAUUCCCUUGAAAGAUUAGGAUUUCCUCCCCAUUGCUUGACAGUAAGAAUUUUAUAGAUAUGGCAGGUGGAGAAUGCCAAACCCAUAUUGCUGAAUUUGUCUGCAUUAUGCUUAAUUUUAACAGAACCAGUUUCUGUAAGGACUGCUUCAUAAAAUUCUCUUGUUUUUAAAAUAUCACCAGAGAGAUAAUGAAAAUUUUCUUGAAAAGCUUUUGCAGCAAUUUCUCUGGGGUUUUCAGAGAAAAAUUCUCUUUCAAUAACCAAAAGAGGUUGAUUUAAAUCAUUUUGCCAAUAUCUUGAUUUUGUUGAAAGAGGUGUGGGGUUGGUAGCCACCACAAUUUGCUUGUUUGAAAAAGAGGAGCUUGAUGCUAAUUCCUUUUGAGAGGGAUUAGCCUUAAUGACUUGCUUGAAGGUCUGAGACCCUGAAAUGGUUGGAUACUGAGUGGCCUUGACUGGAUUGCUUUGAUUGAUUCAAGAGCAGCUAAAAAUUGUCUUCAAGAAGGUCUUGUACCUAUUCCUUUAUGCGAAGAGACUAGUCAGUCUCUAUUUGGAGCCAAUGGCAAAAGACUUGCCAUUAAGUAUAAAUUAACAGAUGUUCAUAUCCGUAACCAUGACAUCUGUAUUAAGCAAACAUUUAUCCUUGUUAAGGAUCUUAAGGAAAAAGCCCUUCUAGGAAUACCCUUCUUAAGCUCUAUUUAUCCCUUAUGGGUAGAUAACCAAGGUAUAAGAACAAAGCUUUUUGAUAAGGAAAUUCUUUUUGAAUUUGCUAAUCCUGUUGAAAACGUCACUCUUUGUGAUCAAGAAAUUAAUCUUGUUAGAAUAGAUGAUCCACCUAAGAUAUUAGGUACCCAAUUCAUUCAUAAUCUCAUUAUAAAUGAUAUUUUAAGCAUUCCUUUAUGCAUUUCAAAAUUUCAAACUGAUAUUUUGAACCAAGGAAUUUUAAAAGUUGUUUUCACAUCUGAGAAAACAAUUAAGUAUAUAGUUUUUAAGUAUAAUUUAAUUGAUUGGAUUAUUUUAAACCCUAAUUUUCAAAUCAAGUUUAUUAAAGGAGAAAGUUUCAUUCCUAAUCACUCAACUCAUGAAAUUUGCAGGGUUCACGAGACCAUGGCCCCUAAAAAGAAUACCCAAGCUCCUAGCCAGAAAACCCAACCCAGUCAAGCUCCUUCUCCCCAUAAAAUGCUAUGGAGCCAACAAGUUGAAGAAGAAGAAGCAAGGCUUCAUUCUUCUAAACCUAUGCUUAACAAGAUGAUGACCUUGUACUAUGAUCAUUCCGAUCCAGCUAAUCCAGUCAAGGUCACUCAGUAUCCAGCCAUUUCAGGGUCUCAGACCUUCAAGCAAGUCAUUAAGGUUAAUCCCUCUCAAAAGGAAUUAGCAUCAAGCUCCUCUUUUUCAAACAAGCAAAUUGUGGUGGCUGCCAACCCCACACCUCUUUCAACAAAAUCAAGAUAUUGGCAAAAUGAUUUAAAUCAACCUCUUUUGGUUAUUGAAAGAGAAUUUUUCUCUGAAAACCCCAGAGAAAUUGUUGCAAAAGCUUUUCAAGAAAAUUUUCAUUAUCCCUCUGGUGAUAUUUUAAAAACAAGAGAAUUUUAUGAAGCAGUCCUUAUAGAAACUGGUUCUGUUAAAAUUAAGCAUAAUGCAGACAAAUUCAGCAAUAUGGGUUUGGAGAAUAUAUAUAUAUAUCUUUUUAGCUUUUUAAUUUUUAAUGUUUUUAUUUUAAAAAUUUUAAAAAGAUAAAUUUGUUGAAAAAAAAUAACUAAGAUAUGAAGUUCUAAUAUUAUAUUAAUAAUUUUUCUUAUCUAGAUAGACUAAUGCAAAGUAUUUUGACCUACAACAAGAAAAUUAUCAAUACAAUUUUUUAGUUAAACUUUAAAAAUUAAGUUUCAAAUAAAAUAUAUUAUAUAAAAUUUUAUCUAAAAAUUAUUGAAAGCGGUAUUUAAUUUUUUUAUUUAUUGACUUUUAAACUUAUCUAAUUUUUUACUUGAAAGACAAUAGAACAUGUUUACAAAAAAAAAAAAAAAAAGUUUUUCAUUUUUUAAAUAAAUGAGUAUAAAUAUAUUAAAAGAAUUAAAGAUAAUCUUAGUAAAAAUUUUGAUAAAUAUGAUUAUAAUUUUAAAUAUAGAUUAAUUUGGAUAAAAUUUCACAAAAAAAAUAGUGAAAAGAAAGAACAUUGCUAAAACUAUAAAAACAAAAUAUACAAUUACAAAAUUUUGAUGAUGAAAUUUAAAAAUAAAAUUCGAAACAAUUCUUGAGUGAGAGAAUUUGAGUGGGGGGAAAAUCUGAGUGGAAAAAAAUAGGAAAGUUUUUCAAAAUCACUUGAAAUCCUUAACAAAAAGUAGUCGUGUACACUCUUGUACAAUUAGUAAAUUUGUCUUAUACAGUUAGUAUAAUACCCUUGUACAAUAACUCAAAUAACUCAAAAUUUUAUUUCUUAUGUGUUAAUUUUUAUAGGGAAUGUCUUAAUGAAAUAGUUUGAUAAAAAAAAAAAAAAAAAAAACUAUCAAUAAUCGUCUUAAUAUCAAAUUCAAGCUGUUUAAAAAUCGUACAAAACCUAUCAGGAGCUUUGUACACCCUUGUACACUUAGCACAUUUCCCUUGUACAAUUAGUGUAAUACCCUUGUACAAUGACACAAAUUUCAUAUUUUUCAUAACUUAAACUUAUUUUCAAAAAGAGACAAUAUAGAAAACAAAAAUAAAUAAAAAUAAAAACUAGAAAAAUAUUUUAAAACCAAACUCAAAUAUAAUCUAUAUAAUUUUUAGUUACUUGUUUUCAUCUAAAACAAGUAAAUAUAACUUUCAACCCUUUUAUAUAUAUAUAUAUAAAAAAAAAAUCAAUCUCUACUAUGUAUUGAUAUAAUUCACUUCUAAAAUUAGGUCAUAUGAAAAUAUUUUAAUUGAGUACUUAAAAUAAAAACUCUCAAUUCAUCCCCUUUCUUUAUUUUUCUUUUUCUUAUUUUAGUAAUUUUCAAUUAAUUCAAAUCAUAAAAAAAAAAAUCCUUAAUAAACAAAUUUAUAGCAUUUCAUAUAACUUAUUACUAUAAGUCAUUUCAAAAAGUUAUUAAAAUAAGAAAGGAAGAAGAUUAAAAAAAAAUUGAACUUUUUAUUUUAUAAUAGUAAAAAAAAACUUUAAAAUACUUUUUAGUAUAAAAAAAAUUAAAAUAGUGAAUAUCUUUAUUUUAAAUGGUAUUUUAAUCAUUAAAUUAUUUACUUCUAAAAUGUAAACGAUAAAAAUAAAUGUAAAAGACAAUUUUUAUUUAUUUAAAUUAAUAUUUUUUUAGAAAGUAUUUUCCAAAAUAGUAUUUGAAUCAUUAAUAUAAUUUUUGUUUAUUUAUAAUUUAAAAAUAAAAAAUAAUGUAAUUUUUCAAUUAUUUAUAAAAGAGUUUUAAAAAAAUGAAAAAUUCAAAAAUGGUUAAAUAAGAAAGAAGAGUGACAAAUAGUAGACUAAAGACAAAAAUGAGUCAAGUGGGUAUUUUUGUCAAUUACUAUCUCAUAUCAUUGGGCUUAAAUAUGGGUGAUUUGAGGAUCAAAUGUUAAUUUUUGGGCCCAUCCGCACCCAAAACACAAUUUUCUUUUUUUUCUUUUUUUUUUAUUUGGUAAAAGAAAAGAUUUUUUUUUCACUUUCUUCAUUGAUAAAAAGACCAGCCACCUAAAUUGACUUGUUUUUGGCCUUUUCUUCCCUCAAUUAUGGCCGACAAGAUCGGUGUUGAUUUCAAGGUCACUAAUAAAAUUGAGUUUAAGACCAAAAUAAUAUAUUUGUAAAAAAAAUGAUAAGAAUAGUAUCCAUUUGAAAAUAUUUGUCAAAAUAGUCUUCUUUAUCUACGUAAGCAUCCACAUGGAUUUUAAGUGUAAAAAACCACCGUUGGUGACUGUGGUUUUAGAACUUACAAAAAUUUCCUUAAAACCACAGUUACUAACUGCGGUUUUAAAAGAAAUUUCCUUAAAACCACAGUUACAAACAAUGGUUUUACAAUUUCCCUUAAAACCACAGUUACUAACUGUGAUUUUACAAUUAUUUUUAAUUCGUCCCCAUUUUAAUGGUGUUAUAAUUUUAAUAUUAUUUUUAAAAUAUUUUUUUUUAUCAAAACAACCAUAAAACCACAAUUACUAACUGUGGUUUUACUAAUGGUGUUAUAAUUCAAAUUAGUGAUGUUAUGUUAUUCACAUGUUUCCUUGAUAAUUUAAACAAAUAAAACUGAAAUGCAUCCUAAAGUCUAAAUGAAAGAAAUUCUAACUAAAUAAAUUAUUACAACCAUUACCUAUUUUUCUUUCAUAUAAUUAAAAAAUUAUACAUUUUAACCAAGACAUAAGUUCAAAUCAUACUUAAUAAUAAAUAACCUAAAAUCAUAAUCAUUGGCAUUAAUUUUCAUAUGAAAAUAUAAAAUUUUAAAAUAAUAUAAACAAUUUCUUUAGUUAUUUUAAAAUUUAAAAAUAAUAUGAAUAAAUAAUUUUCUUUAGUUCAUAUGUGAAAAUAUUUGUAAAACAAAUAAAUANNNNNNNNNNNNNNNNNNNNNNNNNNNNNNNNNNNNNNNNNNNNNNNNNNNNNNNNNNNNNNNNNNNNNNNNNNNNNNNNNNNNNNNNNNNNNNNNNNNNAAAAUAUAAAAUUUUAAAAUUAUAUAAACAAUUUUUUUAGUUAUUUUAAAAUUUAAAAAUAAUAUGAAUAAAUAAUUUUCUUUAGUUCAUAUGUGAAAAUAUUUGUAAAACAAAUAAAUAUUUUAUUUCCUAUAAAUAUAUAAAUUUUUAUGGGAAUGCAUGUAGACCAAAUUAUUUUCUCAAAUUUUCAUGGAAAAUAUGAAAAAAUAAAGAUAAUAUAUAUAUAUAUAUAUAUAUAUAUAUAUAUAUAUAUAUAUAUAUAUAUAUAUAUAUAUAUAUAUAUAUAUAUAUUUUUAAAAGAGUCGUAACAAAAAAAUUUGUGAAAAGCAAAGUUCUAAAAUCCCAUACUUUUUUAUAUAUGAGUUUCCUUAAAAAUAUUUGUGAAAAUUACAACACAAUUAUAAUUUUGAUAAAAAAAAUAUUUUAAAAAUAAUAUUAAAAUUACAACACCAUUAAAAUAGAUGCGGAUUGAAAAUAAUUGUAAAACCACAGUUACUAACGGUGGUUUUAUGGGUAUUUUGAUAAAAAAAUAUUUUAAAAAUAAUAUUAAAAUUACAACACCAUUAAAAUAGAUGCAGAUUGAAAAUAAUUGUAAAACCACAGUUACUAACUGUGGUUUUAUGGUUAUUUUGAUAAAAAUUAUUUUAAAAAUAAUAUUAAAAUUACAACACUGUUAGUAAAACCACAGUUAGUAACUGUGGUUUUAUGGUUGUUUUGAUAAAAAAAAUAUUUUAAAAAUAAUAUUAAAAUUAUAACACCAUUAAAAUGGGGACGGAUUAAAAAUAAUUGUAAAACCACAGUUAGUAACUGUGGUUUUAAGGGAAAUUGUAAAACCACAGUUUGUAACUGUGGUUUUAAGGAAACUUCUUUUAAAACCGCAGUUAGUAACUGUGGUUCUAAGAGAAAUUGUAAAACCACAGUUUGUAACUAUGGUUUUAAAGAAAUUUUUGUAAGUUCUAAAACCACAGUCACCAACGGUGGUUUUUUACACUUAAAAUCCAUGUGGAUUGCUUACGUGGAUAAAGAAGACUACUUUGACAAAUAUUUUCAAAUGGAUACUAUUCUUAUCAUUUUUUUUUACAAAUAUAUUAUUUUGGUCUUAAACUCAAUAAAAUUGGCCUCUCAAAGACUAGGUAGGUAACUAACUAACAAAAGAAAAGGUGCCUUUCAUUUCCCAUUCCAUGCAACAAAUAAAAAAAAAGUAGCCAAUUAAUUUGGGUUGUGUACUUGGGUUUUUAUUUAUGGCCAACCACUUAAAGACUAUUUAGAACAUAAGAUAUGGGACUCUAAAUCCACUUGCAGAAUCAUCCAAAAGAUUGCUUGAGAAAAUCCAUUUAUGUAGAUUGAAGCCCUCUUAUUAUUAUAAGGUUUGCUCCAAAUAAAAUGACUCUUCAAGGUAAAUAAAAAAUAAAAAAAAUAAAAUAAAAAAUCCAAGUAUAUGGUUUUGGACUAGUAAUAUUUGGAGCAAAUCUUAUAGUAGAGUAAUAUUCUAACUAGCAAAUUGUUCAUCUCCAUCAAGAUAGGGUAAUAUUGUAAAUAAACAAAAGAAAAACGAUAUCAUUUACAUAUAAAAUUAUGUUAUAUUCUAACUCAAACCUUAGAGGAAGGGAUUAACAUUAAAGUAGAAUAGGAUCUAUUUGUCAAUUGUCUUUUUUGUUUUCAAGAAUAAAAAGGGAAAAAAUAUGUUUGAUAAUUACAAAACAUAAAACAAUUUUUUUGUUCUUAAAAAAGGAAAGUAAAGUGACUUUUGAAAACAUAUUUUAGUUAUUUUUAGUUAUUUUAUAAGGACCGCUUUAAAAAAUAAUAAUUGAAAAUAAAACAUUACACAUAAAUUUUAUUUUUAAAAAUAUAAAAAAAGAAUUUAAAAAAAUGUUAAUUUUUCAAACAAACUUUUGUUCAAAAAAACAUUAUAAAAUUGUUUUCAAAAACUAUUUUUUGAAAACAAUUUUCAAAUUCAUUUUCAAACAACUAAUAAGUUUUUCAAUUCAUUAUAUUUUUUUAUAUAAAAUAAUAGUAAUAAUAUAAAAAAUAUGAAUAUUUUAUUUUAUCCUAAACCAAAUGUUAAUAACUAAAAUAAAUCAUAUUAAAUCAAGAAGCUAAACUAAACUGACUUCUCAAACAUCUCUUUGGUUGUACCUUCCUCAACAGCUACUAAAUUAGAGAAGUCUCAACUUCAUUUCAAGGAUUUGUUUUCCUUCUCAAUGCAAAAGGGAUAGACCAUUUUUAACCUUUCUUAUUAGAAUAAGCUAUGCUUUUUAACUGCAUAAGACUUGUAUCCUUCUAAGAUUUUGUCCUUUCAAUUUUUUGCUUUCUUCUUUUUACUUCUACUUGUUUACUUUUCUUAACCCAUAAAAACAAAAAAUCGGCGAAAUCAAUUCAAUGGAACAAUAACUGAUCAAUUUUGUUCAAUUUUCAACAAUUAUAAAGAUUGAUUUAAUUGAUGAAUUUUGAAAAUUCAUUUUGUUGGUAGAUUUUCAAUUAUAAAAACUUAACUAAAAUGACAAUCAAACUUAUAUAUAAUUAUUCAAUAUUUGAUGUUUUUUUCUUUUUUUUACAAAGCUUUACCAAAAUAAGUUAUUAUUCUUAGAUUAUGAUUAAAUUAAUUUUUAAAUGCAUCAAUUACAUUUUCGACUAAAAUUUUUAAAUAUAAUUUGAAUUUCAAAUCCAAAUUAAUUUCAAUUAUUCUUAAAAUCAAAUUAGACUUGAAAUCUAAAUUAACUUGCAUCCAAUGUAUUAAUCAUCUAAACUAAACUUUUAUCAAGUUUGGUUUGGUUUAAUUUUUUCAUCACUAAAAGGUGGAUUUGGUGCGACCAUACUCGUUUCUUGAAUCACACCUCUUUAUGCCUAUUCUAAAUAAACCUCUACUAAAUCAUAUUAAUAAAAUAUUUAGUGCUACCCAUGUAAAAUAGACAAAAAGGGAAACAACCAUUUUUUACCAUUGUGAUUCUCAUUUUCUUUACCAAUGUACAAAUCAGGUACCUAAAAUUCACUUUUGUUCAAUUUUUUCUUUCUUUAAUUGUAUGAUUCCCUCUUAAUCAAUGAAAUAUUUUUUGUUCGAAACCUACAAAAACAUGUUUAGACAAUUACUAUGAGCUUAUACUUUCCCUAAUCCCAUAUAGUAUAUUACAUUAUUUAUGAGUUAGGGCGAUAAGAUUGACGUAUACUAAUAAAAAAAAAUAAUAAGUCACCCCUCAAAGAUUAGGUAACUAAGGAACAAAAAAAGAGGUGUCUUUCAUUGCCUAUGUCAUGUAACCUAUAAAAUUAGCCAAUUGAUUUGGCCUAUGUAUUUAUGUUUUUAUUUAUGGCCGGCCACAAUUUAAAACAUUAGGUAAGGGAAUCAGAAUCGGAAUCCACUUGAACAACAAUCCAAAAUAUUAGGUAAGAAAAUCCACCCAUUUAGAUCAUUAAAAUACGAUCCACUUUCAUACAACAAUUAACAUUUUUCCUAUCUUGGUUGCCACUUGACAAUCAUUGGAAUGUCAUAUGGGUGUAUUUGGCAUAUCAUAAUAUUGAGUGGGAAUGAAGAUAAAUCAUAAUAUUAUGUGAGAAAACAAAAUCAAAAUCUUCAUCAAACUAGAUAUUGGUUUUUCCGAGAAUAAAAUUUUCAAUAUUAUUUUAUCCCUAAUUCCUUUUUUUUUUUUUUUUAGGAUUAAGAAUCUAUGCUAGAAAAUUCAGUGGAAAAGGGAUUAACCUAAUUUUAGGAGGUAUUUGUAGUUCAUUGGAUGGUGAAAAUGAAAAUAAAUUUUUCCUAAUUUUAUUUCUUUUUGAAAGAUUUAUAAAAAUGACUGAUUUUGAAGGGUUUUUUUUUUUUUUUUUUUUUUUUUUUUAUGGUUUUGAAAACCAUGAUACUUUAUUACUUGUAAUUUUCUGAUAUUUAAUUAUAAAUAUCAAAUAUCUAAUGUUUACUUUUUUUCAUCACUAAAAUGUUGAUUUGAUUUUGGUUUAAGUAUAAAUCAACUUUCCCUCAAAAAAAUUGUCAAAUUACACCUUUUUAUACCUACUCCAAAUAUCCGGUGCUACUUAUAUUAAGUAAACAAAAAAGAAAACAACCAUUGAGUCCGAGAGUUGAUUUUCAUUUUCUUUAUCAAUGUGAAGGUAUGCCACCUAAAUUAAAUUUAUUAAAUUUUUUCUUUUCUUUAAUUGUAAAACUUUACUCUUAAUCGUACAAAAUAUUAUCCAUUAAAAUAAAAAAUAAAAAUAAAAAUAAAAAUAUGUUUACAUAAUUAAAAGGAGCUCAUACAAUUAUAAUAUAAAGAACUUUUUGUAGGAUAUCACAUUAAUUGUGGGAAGGGUAACGAGAUCAUUACUGAUUUAAGAAAAAAAUAGAAAAAAAAUCAACCCUCAAAGAUUAGGUAACUAAGGAACAAAAGAAGAGGUGUCUUUCAUUACCUAUGUCAUGUAACCUAUAAAAUUAGCCAAUUGAGUUGGCUUAUGUAUUUAUGUUUUUAUUUAUAGCCGGUCACUUAAAUAUUAGUUAAAACAUUAGGUAAGGGAAUGAGAAUCCACUUGCAGAAUAAUCCAAAAGAUUAGGCGAGAAAAUCCACCGUUUUAGAUGAUUAAAGUAUGAUCCACUUUCAUAUAAAAAUUAAUAUUUUUCCUUCCUUAGUUGCCAUAUGACAGGAAUAAUGUAUAUACUAGUGAAUUUGGAAUAUCACAAUACUAGUAGCAUGUGAGAGAAAGAAAUCUUUCCGUAUAAAUUAUUUCAUAAGUUAUAUUAUAUUUUUUUUAUAAAAUAAGAAAAGUUAUUAGAAAUAUCUUUAUAAAUAUUUUAAGUUAUAAGAAGGAAAUCUCAUGAUAUGGAAAUAAGCUUGUAGAGACUAAAGGUGGAUAAAGAUGUGGAGAAUAAUACAAGACACUCGACGGAGCGAGGGGCUCGUGGUUCAAAGUGUGGAUACAAAGAGUGGAAAUGUGGAGUGAGGGGACUUAUGGUCGUGUGGAUACAAGGAAUGAGAAAUAUGAGAUAUUUUGGGAACCAAUAAUAUAAUAAAAAGAUUCUCUCUUAUCCAUAGACGUAAGUACUGAAUUGCAUUAAAAUAUCAUAUACAUUUGUGUAAAUCAUUUUAUAUUUAUAUUAUUGAACUAUCUUUGAUUAUAUUAAAGCUUCUAUUAGUACAACAAAUGUCUCGAAGUCUUUUUAGGAUUAAGAAUCCACAAAGAAAAUUCAAUAAUGGGUAGAAAAGGGAUUUAUCUUACUUUUAUAAUAAAAUAGUAAUUUUAGCAUUUAAAAGAAUAAAAUAAAAUAGUCCCUAGUACUUCCACAAUCAAGUAAGUCCUAAUAUAUUCUCAAUGUAUUUUUUGAAAUUAACUAUACAAGGCUUUGCUUAUUGUAGAAUCUUUUAAACCGUUAAAAAAACUUUAUUUGCAAAUGAAGAAUUUGAUUUAUAAGAGGUGUCUAAUCUCAUGGAAAAUAGAGUUUUGAUUUUGAUUUUCACUUUUAAUUAAAGCCAAAAGUAAAAACUUAUUUCAAUUAAGUUGAUAACCUAAAUUUUGACUUUAUAUUUAUUCCUUCAUAUAAUCUUCAAUUUUAUUUAAUAAUAAAUAAUUUUUUGUUUAAAUUUAAAAUAAAAAUCAAAGAAAAAACUUGUAAGUUGUAGCUCUACUUUAAAAAAUAAAUAAAUUUGAUAAUUUUUUUUAAAAAAAAAUGCUUUUAUGAAAGAUUGUUCUUAAACCAUUUUUUUAAAAAAAAAGAAAAAAAAAAUAUCAUAAAUUGCAGUCGUGUAACAAUUUAAAAGAAAAAAAAAAUCAAUCUACAACUAUCAUAAUUGUGACAUGGUGGAUUCAAGAUAGAACUCAUUUUUUCUGUCUCAGUGAUCAAGCCUUCACCUUACAGAGACAGGGGACCAGUUUCACUUGUUUCCAUCAUCCCUUCUCAACUCUGACUCUUUUGUUUUCCUUUGCGAAAAAAAAAACACCAUGGAAGUUGUUGGAAACGCUCUUCUUUCGGAUGUCCUUGGCUGGCUGUCUGACAAGUUGGGCUCCUAUGAUUUCAUUAAGUUUGCAAGCGAAGAGAAUGUCGACACUGAGCUCAAGAAAUGGGAGAAGGAGUUGCAGAGCAUCUGGCAAGAGCUCAACGACGCGGAGGAGAAGCAGAUCACAGUGGAUACUGUCAAAUCAUGGGUGUUCGAUCUGAGGGUUUUGGCGUAUGAUAUGGAGGACAUCUUGGACGAGUUUGAUUACGAAUUGAUGAGAAGAAAGCCGAUGGGGGCGGAAGCUGAAGAAGCCAGCACAAGCAAGAAACGUAAGUUCUUUACUAAUUUCUCUACUAGUUUCAAUCCAGCUCAUGUUGUGUUUAGUGUCAAGAUGGGGUCCAAGAUUAGAGAAAUCACCAGCAGGUUACAAGAUAUUUCAGCUAGAAAAGCUGGACUUGGCCUAGAAAAGGUGACAGUAGCAGCAGCUACUUCCGCUUGGCAAAGGCCACCACCCACUACACCUAUAGCAUACGAACCUCGCGUUUAUGGCAGGGAUGAAGAUAAAACACUGGUUCUUGAUUUGCUGCGCAAGGUUGAGCCCAAUGAAAACAAUGUUAGCGUUAUUUCCAUUGUUGGCUUGGGCGGGGUGGGCAAGACGACUCUCGCACGGCAGGUUUACAAGUAUGAUUUGGCCAAAAAUUUUGAACUAAAAGCGUGGGUUUGUGUGACUGAUGUGUUUGAUGUGGAGAAUAUAACAAAAGCAAUUCUCAAUUCGGUGUUAGAGUCUGAUGCAAGUGGGUCUUUGGACUUCCAACAAGUUCAAAAGAAAUUGACAGACACGUUAGCAGGGAAAACUUUUUUACUCGUUCUAGACGACGUGUGGAACGAAAAUUGUGGUCAUUGGGAUCUUUUGCGGGCUCCUUUUAGUGUAGGGUCCAAAGGAAGCAAAGUCAUAGUUACAACACGCAAUAAAAAUGUCGCAUUGAUGAUGGGAGCUGCCAAGAAUGUUCAUAAACUAAACCCUUUAUCUGAAGAUGCUUGUUGGUCUGUGUUUGAGAAGCAUGCAUUUGAACAUAGAGAUAUCAAUGAUCAUCCGAACCUGGUGUCCAUUGGUAGGAAAAUUGUUGGCAAAUGUGGUGGAUUGCCACUAGCAGCAAAAGCGCUUGGUAGUCUCCUACGCUCUAAGCAAAGCGAAGCCGAAUGGGAAACAGUAUGGAGUAGCAAAAUAUGGGAUUUGUUAAGCACGGAAAGUGAUAUUCUUCCUGCGUUGUGGUUGAGCUAUUACCAUCUUCCUUCAUAUUUGAAGAGGUGUUUUGCAUAUUGUGCAAUGUUCCCCAAGAACUGGAAGUUUGAGUCACAAGGUUUGGUCCUUCUAUGGAUGGCUGAAGGUUUAAUUCAGCAACCAAAAGGUAACGGACAAACAAUGGAAGAUCUUGGGGCCAACUAUUUUGAUGAAUUAUUGUCAAGAUCAUUUUUUCAACCAUCGACUAAUGAUGAAUCACGUUUUGUGAUGCAUGAUCUUAUACAUGAUCUAGCUCAAGUUGUAUCUGGUGAAAUAUGUUUUUGUUUGGAAUAUAACCUAGGCAGUAACCCGCUAUCCAUAAUUUCUAAACAGACUCGUCAUUCAUCAUUCGUUCGUGGAAGAUAUGAUGCGAUCAAAAAAUUUGAAGCUUUUCAAGAGGCAGAGCAUUUACGAACAUUUGUGGCUUUACCAUUUCUUGGUAGAAGUGGUCCAAAAUUUUUUGUGACUAGAACGGUUUAUGAUCAUUUGGUGCCAAAACUUCAACGACUAAGAGUCCUCUGUUUGAGUGGAUAUUUGAUACCUGAACUACCAGAUUCUAUUGGUGAAUUGAAACAUCUACGCUAUUUGAAUUUGUCUUUCACUCGAAUCAAAUCAUUGCCUGACUCAGUGAGCAAGCUCUAUAAUUUACAAACAAUUAUAUUAUUCGGGUGUUCGAAUUUUAGAAGGUUACCUCCCAACAUUGGGAACUUAAUUAACCUUCGACAUCUCAAUGUUGAAAGAUGUUUAAACCUAGACGAGAUGCCACAACAGAUAGGUAAAUUAAAGAACUUGCAAACUUUGUCUAAUUUUAUUGUGGGUAAAAGCAGAUAUUUGGGAAUAAAGGAGUUGAAGCAUUUGUCACAUCUCCGAGGGAAGAUUUUUAUCUCACGAUUGGAGAAUGUGGUGAAUAUUCAAGAUGCCAUAGAUGCCAAUCUAAGGACUAAGCUCAAUGUUGAAGAGUUGAUUAUGUCUUGGAGUAGUUGGUUCGAUAAUUUGCGAAAUGAAGACACCGAAAUGGAAGUCCUUCUCUCUCUACAACCUCAUACCAGUUUGAAGAAACUCGAUAUUGAAGCUUAUGGUGGUCGGCAAUUCCCCAACUGGAUAUGUGAUCCCUCUUACUCUAAAUUGGUGGAGUUAAGUAUUUGGGGUUGUAUGAGGUGCACUGAUCUACCUUCAGUUGGGCAACUACCUUUCCUCAAGAAGUUAGUCAUCGAAAGAAUGGAUCGAGUGAAAAGUGUGGGGCUGGAGUUUGAGGGGCAGGUUUCUCCUUACGCUAAGCCUUUCCAAUGCUUGGAGUAUUUAAGUUUUCGAGAAAUGAAGAAAUGGAAAAAGUGGUCAUGGUCAAGAGAGUCAUUUUCUCGCCUCGUCCAGUUGCAGAUAAAAGAUUGUCCAAGAUUGAGUAAGAAAUUACCCACUCACCUAACUUCUCUAGUAAGACUUGAAAUUAACAAUUGCCCAGAAACGAUGGUUCCACUUCCAACACAUCUACCUUCUCUUAAAGAGCUCAAUAUUUGUUAUUGCCUAGAAAUGAAGCCCUCUAAAAGAUUACAGCCUUUUGGACGAUUGCGAGGAGGGAGUAGAAGUGCAAUUGACAUCACCUCACGUGUUUAUUUCACAAUUAAUGGAAUGUCAGGGCUUUUCAAACUUGAGCAAAAAUUUUUGCGGUCCUUGCCAAGGCUUCAACUACUGGAGAUCGACGAUUCUGGUGUGUUGGACUGUUUGUGGGAAAAUGGGUUGGGAUUAGAAAAUCUCGCUAAGCUUCGAGUAUUGGAUUGUAACCAACUUGUAUCCUUGGGAGAAGAGGAAGCGCAAGGGCUGCCUUGUAAUCUUCAGUAUUUGGAGAUACGUAAAUGUGAUAACUUGGAGAAGCUUCCACAUGGAUUAUAUAGCUAUGCAUCUCUCAGAGAGUUGAUUAUAGUGGACUGUGCAAAAUUGGUGUCAUUUCCAGAUAAGGGUUUCCCGCUCAUGCUUAGACGUCUUACUAUUGCUAAUUGUAAAAGUCUAAGUAGCCUACCUGAUAGCAGUAAUUGCAGCAACAUGGUGUGUGUCCUUGAAUACUUGAAUAUUUACAAGUGUCCUUCUCUCAUUUGCUUUCCAAUAGGGCAGUUACCCACCACCCUUAAGGAACUCCAUAUAUCCUAUUGUAAAAAUCUAAAGUCUCUUCCAGAAGACAUCGAGUUUUCUGCCCUUGAAUACGUAGAGAUAUGGGGGUGUUCGUCUUUCAUUGGUCUUCCAAAGGGAAAACUACCACCAACCCUGAAGAAGCUCACAAUAUAUGGGUGUGAAAAGCUAGAGUCUUUACCAGAGGGAAUAAUGCAUCACCAUUCCAACAACACAACCAAUUGUGGUCUUCAAUUCUUGCAUAUAUCGGAAUGUUCAUCUCUCACAUCCUUCCCUAGAGGCAGAUUUCUCCCUACCCUUAAAUCUAUUAAUAUUUAUGAUUGUGCACAGCUGCAACCAAUUUCAGAGGAGAUGUUUCAUCGCAAUAAUAAUGCACUUGAAGUUUUGUCCAUCUGGGGAUAUCCCAAUCUCAAAACUAUACCAGAUUGCCUCUACAACCUCAAAUAUCUUCAGAUCACAAAAUGUGAGAAUCUGGAGUUGCAGCCUCAUCAAUUGCAAAGCCUCACUUCUCUUACAUCACUCCAUAUCCAUGAUUAUGAGAAUAUGAAGACGCCCUUAUCAGAAUGGGGCCUUGCCAGAUUGACCUCUUAAAACUCUCACCAUUUCUGAUUAUCACCACCACCACCACCACCCACUGCUUCUUCCUACUACUCUACUUAAUCUUUGCAUUUCAAGAUUCGAGAAUCUGGAAUCCUUGGCCUUCCUGUCUCUCCAAAGGCUUACUUCUCUUGAAACGCUAGAUAUCUCCGGAUGUCGUAAGCUGCAGUCGUUUUUGCCAAGGGAAGGGCUGUCUGAAACGCUUUCAGCCCUAUUUAUAGAAGAUUGCCCACUCCUAAGUCAAAGGUGCUCAAAAGAGAAUGGGCAAGAUUGGCGCAACAUCGCCCACAUCCCCUAUGUGCAAAUUAGGUAGUCGAUUGAUCUUUGAGCAAUAAAAGUUGAGAUUGCAGCAAAAUGAAUGUAGAGGCCAUUCCACCAUAUCCUCUCCUUAUGUGCCACAAUCCCUUGUAAGUGUCAUUUGUUUUAUUAUUCCACAUUUAUUUUAUGACACAUUCUUGUACUUAAGUUGAUGGUUUCAUCUCUGUUAUUGAGAGUUAUCUUCUAUUUCUUGCUUUCUUUCUUUUUGUCUUUCUUUUCUGUUUAUUAGGUUAAGGAGAUGUGAUAAAUAUGGGGAUUUGGCAAUUUCAUCUUCACUUCCAUGUAAGUUUCUCUAAUUGUGCCAUUUUGUUGAAUUUGAAUACUAACCUUGUUUUUUCUAUUUCUCAAUUAUUCUGAUUUUUUUAAUUUUGGACAAUUUGUCUCACUUUUGUUCAUUGUUUAAUACUUCAACUGAUUUUAUUUUUUUUCCUGGUUUUAAUGAUCAUUUUUCUAAAGUUUUCUACUUCCAUGCUUGUUAUGUUUUAUAGGUACCUGCUAGAAGGGGCCUUUAGCUUCUUGACCUUUCUCAGUAGUCGAUCCAAUUGCAGGAACUGGAGUCGAUUUAAGCAAAAGAUCUGCAGAUAAAACUUACUGAAGGCUUUCCCAGCUGUAUGAGUCCGAACUCUAUCUUUGGCCUCAUGUGAUUUGUGUCAUUAGAUUGUAUAUCUACACAAUACCCAUAGGCUAUCCAUUCCCUUUCUGUUAAAAUCAAGCUUGCCCAUUCAUUAUGCAUAACUUUUUUCUUCUUAAGAAGUAGUUUCAAAAUUUUCAUCUUAAAGGAAUUCCUUUUCAUGCAUGUAGGAUGUAAGGUGAAAAUAAUGCAAAUGGAAUCCAAUUCUCUAACAACAGGGCCAGCCAGUUAGAGUGAGUAUGCUAUAUUUCAUUCAUGAUCUUUUUUUAUUUCAUAUAUUUCAAUUGCAUUGUCCUCAAGUAGCAUUCUUAUCUGACGUAUCUCUAAAUAAAGUUCCCCAUUGUUUUCCCUAAAUAUUCAUAGAUAUGCAUCUAUUAAAUUAGGCCAUGUUCUUAAUGCUUUAUAGACCUAUGAUUUAUCAACCUAUGGUUUCAUUUUCUCCAUCACAGGAUUGGACCAUGUUUUUAUAAUUUUCCAUUCAUCAACAUGAUCUUUGUUCAACUUACAGGCUUUUCAAGUCAGUAAUAAAGAACAUCUCUGAUUGAAAUGCUUCAUUUUCUAGGAAUAUCUCUCAUUAUAACUUAUUUUACUUAUGAGCUUUUAACUACAUUCCUUUUUACAAUAAUGCAGGAUUGGCUUUUGCUAAAAAAUAUUGAUUCUUCAUUUUGGUCUCCUUCACAGUCAUUGUAAGCAUCACUAUUUCUACAUCAUUGUUAUCUUUGUAAAUAAUUCUGGCUUGAAUUGUAUAGCAUACUUAUACAAGUCAAAGUUGCAGAAGUCAUGGCCCAAAAAUUACCAUCUCAUGUGGAAUCGGGAGAAAGGAAAUCUGCAAGUUGAGAUACAAUGAGAGUGAGCUAUGCAAAUUCUUACAUAUUCAAAACCUUUUUAUUUGUACAAUUUAUUCCGAUGGCUUUUCAAUAAUCAUGUUUGCAUUUCAUUUGAUUUUAAAUUUUCAAGGAGAUUUAGGGCUCAAAAUAGCUACCAUUGACUUCAGAAUUGUACUUCAAUAUCUGAGGAGCAGUCCCUUGUUGUAACACGAAAUGCUUUUGGAAGCUGGUUAUAGAAUUCCUGGGGAAUGGUGAUUUUCCCUAUUAAUUUGGUACGCUUUUUGACUCAUUCUCCAGCAUAUUAUUGGAGAACCUAUUUUUUCCCUCAAUCUUUUACUUUUAGGAAGAUUUUAGCUCAAGUCAAAUCCUCUUUUUAGUGAAAUUAUGGAUCUUUAAUUAGUGUUUUGCAGACCACUAAUAUUAGGAAUAUGAUGGUUUGUGUUGGAAUACACAAAUUUCUCUUUGAAUCCUUGAACCCAGUGUACCAUCUCAAACAUUUCUUUUUGUUUUACAGAUGAAUGUUGGAAAUAGGAUAGGCUGAUGAAGGCCAAAGAAUCAGUUUGGGGUAGAUUUGGAGAUCAAUCACUGAAUGGUUCAGAUUAUUUCUUUUUCUAAUUUCAUUUGAUUUAGAGUGGAUGCAGAGGCUAUACUUAUGGUAAUAAAUAUGCAGUACCCUGUUGUUCAUAGUGAUCAUGUUAGACUAAGAUUUUUUAUCAACUUCUACAUGUGGCUUAUGCCAAGAAGUGAAGGUCAUUACCCAUUGCAGGUUCGGUUUUGGGGCUUUUGUGAAGGACGGAUGGACCUGAAUUUGAGCAUUUUUUACUGAAGAUGAUGAAUGGAGACUUGAAUCUGCCCUAUUUCGCCAAGCAACAACGUAAAAAAUUAUGCAAGGUUUGCUAACUCGUCAAUCUAUCCUAAACUAAAUAUUGUGUGAUGGAAGUGGAUUGUGACAGCUUACUCCUUGGGAUGGAGUUAAGGAUUUUUUUAUUCCCUCAUUCAUCUUUGUUUUAGCGUAUUUGUGAUUCAUUCUUAAGCUGUUUCCUUUCCUUUUUAUCUGAGUUCGCCAAUAUGUUCAUUCUUAAAUAUUUUGGCAUGCCUAAAAACUACCCGUAAGGAAACAUGUUAAUACCCUGGAUUGUGAGCAUUAAAAAAAAGGUCAUCUUGGUAUUAUGGUAUAUGGUGGUAAAAAAAUGAAAGAAUUUUAGUUCUUGUAGCCCUAAAAUGAUCUUCUAUUUGCUACUAAUGCAGUCUUAUUUUGAGUGUUGUGAGUAAACUGGACUCAUUUCAUUUUUAAAACUCAGUGGAAGUACCUUUAUUCCUUGGAGCUUCCAAUCAAACCCUAAGGCUAUGUUUGGUUCCCAGAAAAUGCUAAGGAAAGGAAAAAAAUGCAAGGGAAAAUGAUUUUCUGUAGUUUGGAUGAUGUGGAAAAUAUGAUGGAAAAAAAAUACAAAGGAAAAUAUUAAAGAAAAUAUGGUAAUAUUUUCCCCAUUAUUUUCCUUAAAAAAUAAUGAGGAAAAUAAGAGAAAAGAGAAGGGAAAAGGGGGGAAAAUUUUAUCGGGCUCUUCUUCGCCCAGGCUGCACCUCUAACUUCCUCUUCAUCGGUGGCUAUGACAUUUCACCGUCGUUGACCCUUUCAACGGCCACCAGUAUCACUCCGACCACCUUCCAGUGCCGAAAACUGUAACUCCUUGUCGAUCCUCUCUCCAAGUCUCAAGCCCAAAUCCAUCAGAUCUUCGUCAUUCAUCUCGCUGGUCGUCCCUGCAAUUUUUUGAACCUGAAAAGCGCUCCAAAAUAUGUGAAAAAGGGUGAAAGAUCGAAGCUUCGGGUCACUCUUGAUGUGUCAGAGGCGCGGAAGAGGAAGAGACCUGAUUAGGGAAAUGUGGUGACUAGGGCUAGGGUUUCGAGGAAUGCGAGUUUAAGGCCGAAGAAGCGGGUUUAUUACAAGAAGGUUGUGUAUGAUGGGGGUGAAUUUGCGGUGGGCGAUGAUGUGUAUGUGAAAAGAAGGGAAAAUGCGAGCUCGGAUGAUGAAGAAUUGCAAGUGGAGGAGUGUAGGGUAUGUUUCAAGUCGGGAAGGGCUGUGAUGAUUGAGUGUGAUUAUUGUCUGGGUGGGUUUCAUUUGAAGUGUUUGAAACCACCGCGCUGAAGGAGGUUCCAAAAGGGGAUUGGAUUUGCCAUUUUUGCGAGGCCCGGAAAUUGGGUAAGGAGGUUGUGCUUCCAAAGCCACCCAAAGGGAAGAAACAAAAGAGAACUGCAAUGGAGAAGCUUCUUUCCAGUGAUUUAUGGGCGGCUCAUAUUGAAAAGUAUAGUCCUUUAUCUCCUUUUACUAAAUUGUCUGUUUGAUUACUGAUAAAAUGUGGGAAAAGGAAGCGAAUCAAUUUGAAACUUGAAUGCUAUGUCGUUCAUUAUAAAGUGAGUUUGACAUAACUAUUUGGAUUGAUUGAUUUGAGUUUUUAAUUUCUAAGGAGCAAAAUGACCAAAAACAUGGGACUUGAAAUUCUGUUUUCUUUUCUUUUCUUUUCUGGUGCUUCUGAGGGACAAGAAAAAAGAGAAAAUGAUAUGAAUUCUUAUUCUUUUAUUGUAGUAGUAAUUGUGUGGACUAUGGAUCAUUUUUUUUAUGUUGGAGAUGUGCAAUAUGUGGAAAGAAGUGGAUGGUACUUACUGGUUUCGGAGGCGAUGGUAUAUCAUCCCUGAAGAGAUUGCGUUGAUUGUAACAUUUAACCUAUUUACUGGAAAAGGACUUCUUAAAUAUAUCUUCAACCUUGAAAAUGGAGAAGUGAAGUCUCAGGCAAGCAUUUCAUAGAGUGACUUUUUUCUUUUAGUUUUGUAUUAAAUAUAUCUCCAAAUAAUCCAACUGGUCAUGUUGCAUCAAGAAGACAAUCAGAGGAACUGGUAUCGUUUGCAAAAGCAAAUGGAUUAAUCUUUGAAUGAGACUGAUAUCUUUCUACCAAUUUAUUCCAAGAGUUCAAUUUUUAUUUUCCUGAAAUUUUUUUAUUAUUCAACAAAUUGAUAACCAUCUAACAUGAAUUUAUGAUUUUAUUUUCCUUUCAUUUUUCCUUUAUUUUUUUUCAUGGUUAACCAAAUAAAAGAAAAUGAAUUUUUUUUUUCCUUUGAAUUUUCCAUGGAUUACCAAACAAGUGAAAAAUUUUAUUUUCCUUUCCUUAGCUUUUUCUUUCAUUCCAUUUUUCCUCCCAAUUUUCUUUCUCUCGCAUUUUCCGGGAACCAAACAUACCCUAAAUUUUCUUAAAGAUAUGGCUUAUAUUGGGUGAGAGGGGGAAUAUGAUUUUAGUAUGCUCUGCUUGUUGGGUGCCAUUUUAUGCUUCCCCGCAAUCUUUUUACACUUUGUGAAGCAAGUGACAGUGUACCAAAGUUUAUCUAAUUGGAAUUUUGCCUUCACAUAUAUAUAUAUAUAUGUUCAUGCAUGAUGAAAUUUAAAUCACUGAAUGCUGGCUUGCUUCCCCACAGAUACAUCCAUGUCACUAAAGCUAAAAAUGAAGGUUGCGUUUUCUCUUAAACUUGGAAGCUCAUGAUGUAGUAAUACCUCAUAAUGUCAAAAAGUAAUUAAUGUCUGUCCUCUGCAUGUACAUUUUAGUGUUAAUCGUUUCUGGGAUUCUUGCUUGAUAUUUAAAAAGGUUCACAUUUCAGUUCUGUCUUGUAGAUCAUGCUUUUGGAAGCUCCUCACAACCCGAAAGCUGGAGUGCUUCAUCUGUAUAUCCUUGAGUUCUAUCAGAUGGGUGGAAAGCCAAUUACAAAGAAAUAUGGACAGGGCUUUCUCAUAUGUGGUUAUAUCAUAUCAAUUCAGUUGGCCAACAUCCAAUAGUCCAGAGGAAGGUCCUUGCUGACAAUGAAUAUUGAUGAGAGCAUCAAUAGAAGUUUUGAUGGACCUGAACAAAGUUAAAACAACUCGAGGACCAGAUUACCUGUACAACUCCCAGCAGCCAAAUGGACCUCUGAGGACCAUUAAUGAGAGAGCAUCGUUGCAGAUUCCAGACUUAAGACAUUGCUGGAGUAUUGAAUUCUGAAUGUAAUACAGGAGAAAAUUUUGUUUAUAUGUAUUAAUGUUGAUGAAGUUUUGGUUAGUAUGGUAUGGUUGAGAUCAUGGUUUGUGGAUUUGUUGUUCAUUGUAGUUAUCAGAAAUGACUGAACAAGGCUACCUUUUAUUCUUAAGAAAUUCUGGUUUUAUAAUUCUGCUACAAUCAAUACAAGGUGUGGAAGUGCAAUUGAUUAUGUUUAUGCAUGAACUUCUUUGGAAUCCCAUGUCUCUAACAUUCCCUUCAUCUGUAGUUGCUAACCAAGCUUUCACACACAGCAAACCAUUAAUUCUUUCUGCUUCCCCUCUUUACAGCAUCCUUUAGAUUCCCACUCUUUCUCUCUUAAGAAACCAGGCAAAUUGUUGAGGUUGCCCUUUCUGUUUCCCCUCAAGUGCUGUUUGGCAAGCUGGUUUCCUCUGAUUUGCGGAAGUUUGCAUGCCUGGAGCAAGUCCAAACCCAGCUCAAGAAAUGGCAGAAAAUGUUGGAAUUUAUAUGGGUGAAUGGAAAUUAGGAUUAGACACAACUUGUUUUAAAGGAUGUGUCUUGUAUUUAAAAGACACAACCUCGUACAAAGGAUGUGUUUGGUGUUUUAAGACAACCCUUCAAAGGAUGUGUCUAGUAUUUUAAAGAUACAUCUCUUCUAAUAAGUCACCAACAAAUCUAUAAAUAGGGAUGAUAUUUCUUAUUCAUUCAUUCAUCUAUUCUCUUCACACUUUCUCAUUUCUUGUCAUUCAAGUCCUCCUUAACUUUAAGUCUAGUCAUUUUUCGUUUUUAUUAAAUAUUUGGUGUUCAAGAGAGUACAAAUCACUAAGUGAUUUUUAGUUUCUUGUAAUUUGAAGUGUUACUAUCACAAUAAAGUGAUCAUUGUAUCCUGAGAGACGACUGUCAACAAACCAUAAGUACUUGAGCGGAACAAAUUCAUCUUAAGGACAUAGAGUCAAACUUUAGUCUCAAUCAACCUUAUUUGUGAGUUUCAAUUUUCUACUUCAUUUUAUUUGUAUAUUUAUUAUACACACUUAUUAUCCAUAUAUUCAAUGAUUUGGACAACAAUCUUAAGACGAAGUUGCUUUUAUUUCUAAUUUUAUUACAAUUGAUCUUUUAGUGAAGAUGGUUUCUGCAUCUUCUAUCAUACCUCCUACUAUUGCACAUGGUGAGAAACCUGAGAAGUUCACUGGGACAGACUUCAAGAGGUGGGACCAAAAAAUGUUGUUCUACCUUACAAUAGGAUUGGCAACGGGGCGGAUUUGGGCGGGGCCACCCCUACCCCAUUCCUGUCCCAAUUAUAUAAAUCCCUUUCCCAUCCCUAUCCCAUACCCGGGGUGGGACGGGUUAAUGUCUCCCAUUACCAUUUACAAAAGAGUUGAUAAUCCCAUCCCCGUACCAAAUGUGUUUUCGGGGCGGGGCGGCGUCGGGUGCUGGCCCAUGCCAUCGGGACCAUCAGCAACAUCUUCCAAUUUCGGAACAACUUCAGAAUCUCGACGGCCUCCGUUGACACAUUGGAGUACUUGAUGUUGGUACAGUGGCUGUCGUCAUCCCGAACCACGUGGCUCGGGUGCAAGAUCGCCAGCUUGAGGACGGUGUCGACGGACAUGAAGCACAUGAAGCACAUGAACCCAAUGUAAGUAUCUUUGUUCACGAAUGCAACCUCGCUCCAUUUGUAAGUCAGAAUGAAGGGGAUGAGCCCGCCAAUGACGCCCCUCAUAUUGAAGAUGCUCUAGAACAGCGAUAUGUAUGAACCCUUUCUCCCCGGCAGGGGGUACAACGUCAUGAUAGCUCCCUACCCCACCCAGAGCAAUCCUGCUCUGAUUCCGAGGAUGGCGCCAAUGACAAUGGCGAAGCCCUGGUGCUGGUAGUGGUUGUAGUAAAGGAAAGAGCCGGCGUAGAAGACGUAGGUUGAGCAACCAGUGAAGAGGGUGAAGUAGGGGCCGAGGAUGUUGUAGAUGCCACCACCCAAGAUGCCGAAGAUGGCGAAGGUGGUGUAAAGGGCGAUGUUAGAAUUAUUGGCGGCGGUGGCAUCCACCUGCCCACCUCCCCCCAUCCCGGAAAGGGCAUUGAACAUGCUUGGACAUCAGAAGUAUACCAAGCCAAUCAAACAGACCUGAACUAGUGGGGAAUUGUAUCUAAAAAUGGAUUUGUUAGGCAACCCCACCACUGACUCUUCAUCUUCCCUAAACCCCAUUUCUCUUCUUACCCACUAGAUCAUAUUAGAAUCAGAUUCAAAUCCAGAGUCUCUAUGUAUGUUGGUAAUUAAAAUUUCGGGGCGAGGCGGGUAACUACAAACCCAUACCCGCCCCGAACCCGAUUCGGGUUUCACAAAACUUUCUCAUACCCGAUUAAUUUAUCCCAUACCCGUUCCAAUAGGGGCGGGUGACUCGAUUGACAUGUGAAAUUGCCAUUCCUACCUUACAACUGUGAAUCUUGAUUGGGUCCUAUAUGAGGAUGCCCCUAUAUUAAAGAAGGGUGAAACUGAUAAACAAAUGGAAGCUUGGAAUUAUUCUAACUUCCUAUGCAAGAAUUACAUCCUCAAUAGUUUGGACAACACAUUGUACAAUAUGUAUAGUCCAAUAAGAACUACUAAGGAACUUCGGGAGUCCUUAGAGAAAAAAAAAUACAAGACAAAGGAUGUUGGCUUGUGAUAAUCAAUUGACUAUUGGAAGAACACAGAAUAACAUGUAUAAUGGUAAGUCUCGACAUAUACGUCGAAGACAUAAUACAAUAAGACAAUUAUUUUCAAAUGGAGUGAUUUCCAUUGAUUAUAUCAAAUCAAAGGAUAACCUUGCGAAUCCGCUUACUAAAGGUUUGCCAAAGAUCAAGUUAACUACUUAUCAAGUGGAAUGAAAUUAAAGUCUAUAACCAAAAAGUCUUCAUAAUGGUAACCCAACCUAGUUGACUAGAGAUCCCAAGAUCUAGGCUCAAAGGGACAACUAAGUUAUGAAUGACUAAGAGAAAUAUUAAAAAGAUAAUCUCUCUUAUCUAUUCCUAUUAUGAAAUAGUGUUUUAUGCCCGUGAACAAGGUUAAGCUUUGCCUUUAAUGAGUCUUAUAACUUGGAAAACAAGUGGGGUAUGACAAGACGCUCUUAAUAAGAAUUACUUAUGUGAGUGUGGAAGGGAGUCGUUCCCAUGAUAUUUUUUAAGGAUGAAAUUCUCUAUAGCACUCAUGAAACCAAGAUCUUUGUAGGACCAAAAUGAACACAACCAUGAGAAUCAAUGGUGAUUCGGAAGGGAAUUGUGUGGAUAAUAUUGUCUUGAUUUACACCAACGGUUAAACAAUUCAAGACAUCAUGUUCAUUGAUUAGCUCGUAAAUUCGAUAAUAUUUCACUAAGGAAGGUUCAAAGUCACAAGCUACCUAUCCUGACACAAUUACUUUCCAAGUUGUACUCUCUUGAAUGAUUAGCUUGUCAUUUUCAUUUUUUAAGACAAUUUCCAUUCAUGUGGGGGAGUGUUGGAAUUUAUAUAGGUGUGUUAGUCCAAGGGUUCUCCUAAUCGGGUUUUGAUGAUAACAAACCAUGGUUAAGUAACUAAUUGGUUUAAUGUUUAAGAAUCUCAGGUAUAAACUCGAAAAUUCAUCAAAGGACCAAAUGGAUACAAGAUCGAGACGCUUGGAAGACUUGAGAUCAUAGGAAAUGAAUGUAAGAUGAUAGCAUGAGUGCACUUAGGAUGUUCAUACCUUUUCAUGCAUAUUAGAAAACUCGGUUUAUUAUUUAAAAGUUGAUUUUCUUUAAAACCCGAGUUUUAUCAAAUAUACCUUAGGCAAAUUGAUUCAAAAUUGACAUAUUAACUCACCUAUAGACCUUGCCUAAGUGUUAGAAAAGAAAGGAAUAAAAAAAUAGGUUUUUCGGGGCCAAAAAGGCUCAACCAAUCGAGGCUAAGGCCAACCAGUCAAUCGGUUGAGGAACCGGUCAACCGGCUGAGGUCGUCCAGUCGAGGACCGGUCGAGGAAGGUUAAAAACCUUCUCUCUCUCCCAAUAGCCAUCUCUUCCCGGUCGAAGUGAUUCCUUUACCGGUCGAGGUCCGGUCGAGGUCCGGUCGAGGUCCGGUCGAGGACCGAUCGAGGUCCAGUUGAGGCAACGAUAACCUGUCAUGCAUUAAAUGCUCCAACGGCUAGUGAACCGAUCGACCCCUAGCUCGACCGGACGAGGUUUCCUUUUGUUGUUUUUGACUCCUGAGCUUAGAAACCUAUAAAUUGAGAGCUCCUCUUCAUUUAUUGAUAAGAGAACAAUUGCAUUCAAAGCCUACCUACCUGUUCUCGAUCAAAAAGCUCUCAUUUCUUUUUUAGUGCAUCAAACCAUCACUUGCAUACUCUUAGUGCACUCUUGUAAAUCAUCCUAGCUUUCUCUUGUACUUGAGUCAUUCUUAAGCUAGGUUGAGAGUUUCAUCUUUGUGUAAACUGAGUGUGAAAGCCUUCAAGUGGUUCAAAUCUUGAAGAGAUUGUGUAAGAGCCCAUUGGAGCCGGAAUCCAAGUGUAAGAAGAUUGAAAGCUUGAUUGAAGCUUCAAGUUAGUGGAACUCUCACUUGGUUAGGAGAUUGAGGAGAGUGGACGUAGGCAAGGGAGUGCCGAACGACUAUAAACCCAAGUUUAAAUUCUCUAACUUUAUCUCUUUCCUUUAUUUAUUUUGUGCAUAUAUUAUUGCGUGGAAAAAGAUUUUGAAAAACCUAAUUCACCCCCCCUUUUGGGUAUUUUCCUUAAUUAUUCAUAGUCUUUGUUUUAUCAAGGUGAAUGAAAAUUAGGAUUAGACACAACUUGUUUUGAAGGAUGUGUCUUGUAUUUAAAAGACACAACCUCUUCCAAAUGAUGUGUUUGGUGUCUUUAAGACACAAUCCUUUAAAUGAUAUGUCUAGUAUUUUAAAGACACAUCUCUUCUAAUAAGUCACCAACAUAUUUAUAAAAGGGACCCAUGACAUUUCUUAUUCAUUCAUUCAUCCAUUCUCUCUACUUUUUCUCCUUUCUUGUCAUUCAAGUCCUUAGCUUCAAGUCUAGUUAUUUCUCUUUCUACCAAAUAUUUGGUAUUUAAGAGAGUAAAAUAACCAAAUGAUUCAUUGUUUCUUGUGAUUUGAAGUGUUAUUAUCAUAAGAAAGUGAUUGUUAUAUUCUUGGAGACUAUUGUCAAUAAACCAUAAGCACCUAAACGGGACAAAUUCGUCUUAAGGACAUAGAGUCAAACUUUAUCAAGAGAAUCCUUGCGGAAAAUCCUUGCAGUUCUAAAAUGGUGCCAAGAAAAAAGAAAAAAAAUAUUAAGAAAAAUAGUUUAUUUAUAUUGAAAAAUAUGUUUAUAUAUUUUUAAAUUAUAGAAUUUUUAUACAGAAGAAGAACCAAUUGCAGAGAUCUGCGACAUCCUUUCUCUGUAAUUCAUCAACAAACUAUUACAUAUUUAGCUUCAAAAAUAUCUCACACAAAAUUAUUAUAGAUGUGGUUACAACUUACAAAUAUUUGAUAUGAAAUACAGAAGGCCCAAAACUAACAGCCUAUAGUACAACACAGAUUAGGCCCAUAACACUAAGCCCAACAAGCCCAAUGAACCCUGGUUUAUUUAUUUACCAUCAACAGCACACCAACUACCCUUAGCUUCAGACCCUUCCCAAACGCUGCCUGUCCCAAGCCGCCUUCUUCUCUCUUGCUUCCUGCCAGGCUACCACUGCUCCCACAUAGCUGAGAGAGAUGCUAUGAAUGGGAGCAAGCUUCCCUUUUUUAUAGACCUCAAGGGAAGUUCUUCAAUUGCGGUUUGGGAGUUGGAUGGCAACUAACAUUGGUGAACAUAGGCGGCAGUGGUGGUGCUGACUUCAAUCUUCCAGCGUUUCCGGCGAGGCGGUGGUGGUGGUGGAGAGGGCAUAGGGUGCUGUUCCUGUUAAAAUCUAAUCCAAGUGGAGUUGGCUAAUGGUAUUAUUUGUUGACAUUCCCAGUGAUUUACAGAGUGUUUUUGAUGGUUGGUGUCUUAAUUGAUUUUUCCUUGGAAAAGAAAUUGUCUGCUUUGCUGAGAGUUGAUGCCUUUGGAGCAUCUCUGGUCUCACCCGCUUUAGAGCCCUUCUUUUCUUUACCACCCCCAGCAGCAAAUGUCCUGCAGCCCAGCACCCUGACUGCCUCCCCUGUGAUGAUGAAACUUCUCAUUGAUUUUAUGCAGUUCAUUGCCAUGUCUUUUCCCUGCAAAAAUAUUUUACAAAAUCAUCAAUAGUUCAAGGUUCAAUUUCAACGUAACAUGCUUCCUUUAAUACCCCAUAUCCACCACUUUGUAAUACGCCACUGCUAUACUCUACAAUGCGGCAAUAGACUACAAAUCCCUUUAAUGAGUUGGGCAAAGCAGUAGGGACUCAAGCAGUAGUCUCUCUACCAGUGCAUCACCAUUCCAACAACACAACCAAUUGUGGUCUUCAAAUCUAGCAUAUCUUGCAAUGUUCAUCUAUCGCAUCCUUCCCUAGAGGCAGAUUUGUCUGUCCCUUAAAUCUAUUAGGGUUGGUGAUUGUGCACAGCUGCAGCGAAUUUCAGAGGAGAUGUUUCACCACAAUAAUAAUGCUCUUGAAGAUUUGAACAUCUUGGGGUAUCCCAAUCUCAGAAUCAUACCAGAUUGCCUCUACAACCUCAAAGAUCUUCAGAUCGGAAAAUGUGAGAAUCUGGAGCUGCAGCCUCAUCAAUUGCAAGGCCUCACUUAUCUUACUUCACUCAAGAUCACUAAUUGUGAGAAUAUCAAGAUGCCCUUAUCAGAAUGGGGCCUUGCCAGGUCGACCUCUCUUAAAACUCUCACCAUUUCUGAUUAUCACCACCACCACUCAUUGCUUCUUCCUACUACUCUAGCUGAGCUUUUCAUUUCAAGCUUCAAGAAUCUGUAAUCCUUGGCUUUCCUGUCUCUCCAAAGGCUCACCUCUCUUAAAAGGCUAUGCAUCUCCAGUUGUCCUAAUCUCCAGGGCUGUUUAACAUGCUUUCAGAACUAUUUAUAACAUAUUGACCACUCCUAAUUCAAAGGUGCUCAAAAGAGAAACGGGAAGAUUGGCCCAAGAUUGCCCACAUCCCCUAUGUGAAAAUAGAUGACAGAUUGAUCCUUUAGCAAUAAGGAGUUGAGAUUGCAGCAAAAUGUACGCAGAGACCAUUCCACUAUAUAUAUAUAUAUAUAUAUAUAUAUAUAUAUAUAUAUAUGCUUGGUAUUUUUUCUUCAGUGUGCCACAAUUCCUUUUUGUGCACAUUGGAUGUGAAGGAGAAAAUAAUGCAAAUGGAAUCCAAUUCUCUAACCAGAGGUUCAGCCAAUCAAAUUGAGUAUACUCUAUUUCAUUCAUAUCUUUUUUGACUUUAUGCAUUUCAAUUGCGUUGUCCUCAAGAAGCAUUCUUUUCUCAUAUAUCUCUAUAUAAAGUUCCGCAUUUUUUUUCCUUACGUGUUCAUAGAUAUGCAUUUAUCAACUUAGGCCAUGUUCUUAAUGCUUUUAAACCUAUGAUUUCACAUUUUCCCAUCACAGGAUUGGACCAUAUCUUUAUAAUUUUCCAUUAAUCAUCAUCUUUGUUCAACUCAAAGGUUUUUCAAGUGAGUAAUAAAGACUACAAAUGGUUAGAUAUCACUUUUUUCUUUGUCCUCUUGAUUGCCAUGCUUCUCUAUUUGGAAUUGGAUUCUUCUGUUUGUAACUUAUUUUUCGUUACAUUUUUAAUUGCAUUCCUUCUUACAAUAAUUCAGGAUUGACCUUUUCUCAAAAAUAAUUGUUCUUCUUCUUAGUCUCCUCUUCAGUUAAUGUAAGCAUCAAAUUUCUAUCUCUUUGUUAUAUAUGUCUUCCUUUUUCUCAUUACAUAUACAUGAGGAAGAUUUUUUGACUUCCAUUAUAAGUUUUCAAUAACUAUGUUUGCAUUUCUUUUUAUUUCAAGGAGAUUCAGGGGUGAAAAUUCUUUUGCAUUUGUCUUGACAUUUGGCGCUUAAAACUCUACAAUGGUGUUUGGUGUUGAAAAAGGGGUACUUCAUUGCAGAAUAAUGAAAGUGUAAAUAGUUCUUUACCAUCAAAAAAGGCUUCAUGGUUGUUAAGAUCCAUCUAAUUCCUUGUCCUUUUCUUGACAUGUUGUUCAAUUUGUGGAAGAUGUGGGAGGAGAGCUUGAAUCAAAUUAAGCCAACUCCUUGCAAAAGACGAAUUCUUGCUAAGAAACCUCACCACUCGCAAGUUCUUUCUUAUCCAAGAAUUCUACAGCAGGUAAUUCGAGAUUAUGUCUCAUCUUUCUAUUUCUUCAUGCUGGUGCACUCACUGAUUUCACUCGUGUUUUCAUCUGAUGGUGACCAACUCUUCCUCUUCUACACGCCAUUAUGUGAUAAUAAUCAGACCUCUCUGUCUUGCUUGAGUUCAAGCAGAGCUUUCUGAUUGGUCAGCAUGCUUCUGAUGAUCCUUCUGCUUAUCCGAAAGUUGCAGCUUGGAAAUCUGAAGGAGAUGGUAGUGACUGCUGCUCAUGGGAUGUCUUAAGAGUGUGACAAGGACACUGGCCAUGUGAUCCGCCUUAACCUUGGCAGCAGCUGUCCCUAUGGUUCUAUCAACUUCAGCAGCGCCUUCUUCCACCUUGUGCAUCUUCAAGGGCAUGAUCUCUCUAAUAAUGAUUUCAAUUACUCUAUGAUCCCAUCAGGAGUUGUCCAGCUUUUGAGUCUUAAGAAGUCUAAAUGACACCUCUCCUGGAUUCUCCGGCCAAAUCCCAUUGGAUUUCUUUGCACUGUCCAAACUGAUUGUCCUUGAUCUCUCACAAAAUCCAUUGAAGCACCAGUAACCUGACCUUGCUUCAGAUUCAGGGGUGAGAAGCAUUUCCUCCUUGUAAUACAAAAUGCUUUUGGGAAGCUGGUUGUAGCAUUCCUGGUGAAUGGUGUUUUGCUCUGUCAACUUGGUACACUUUCAGACUUGUUCUCUUGCAUAUCGUUGGACCAGCAUAAUAAUAAUAAUAAUAAUAAUAAUAAUAAUAAUAAAAUAAAAUAAAAUAUAAAUAUAAAUAUAAAGCUCAUUUAUGAAAAAGACUUAUUUUUCAAAAAAAAUUUCAAAAAAAAGUGGACGAAUUUAAUUUACAUUCCUUUUAUUAGACCCCAAUCAACUUAAGGGAAAAAGGCAAGCUUGAGUAUAACUCUUUUAAGUUAAAAAGAAGGAUUUGAAAGAAAAUCUCAUAUUGUUUGGUUGCGCUUAAAUUUGUUUUUAGAUUUAUUUUAAAAUUUUGAUAUAAAACUAAAAAAAAAUAUAGGAAUAAUUUAGAGUUGUUUAGAUGCAUCUCUUAUUUUUUUUAUUUUAAAUUAAAAAGAAUAAAAGUUUUUAUAUAAUAUAUACAAGAAUUUUUAGAAAAUUAAAUUAAAAAAUUAAUUGCCUUAAAAACUGUUUAAAAAUUUAAUGCAUAUUUUUUUCUUUUUCUUUUUUCAUAUUUUAAUAUUUUUUUAAAGUAAUUUAAAAAAAUAUAAGAGAAAUUUAUGUAUAUGUUUUUUAUAAGGUGUUUCUACUUUUAUAUAGAUAUUUAUAAUUUUUUUAAAAUAGAAAAUAUACUAAAAGGGUUACGUAGCCUUUUAUUUUAAAUACUUUUAAAAAAUAUUUAUGUUUAAAACCAUCAAAACGGCACCUUAGUGCGGAGCUCCGAUAAUUGUGAAAGGCUGCCACGGCUGCCAUGCUCUGCUUUUUCCUCAGGGCCCAUGACGGCAAAAUCCUACCGUUUAUGGAAAAAAAUAGGGUUGCUCUGCUUUUUCUUCAGUCGUGGGCCAUGACCGCAAUUGGAAUCCUACCUUUAAUAGAAAAAAGUAUAGGUUCCUUUUAUAGAAAAAAAAAGAGGGUUUUUUUAAUUCUAGAAAUUAAAUAACUUAAAUUAAUAAAUUAUAUAAUUUUAUAUUUUAUUUAUAUAUAAUAUUUAUUUAUUAUUAUAUUUAUCAAUUUAUAAAAUAAUAUAAAAUUUUUAAAUUUAAAUAUAUAAUUUUUUAUUAUUAAAAUAUAUUUUUUUAAUUUCAAUAAUAAUCUGUAAUUUAAUAUUUUUAAUUAAAAUUUAAAGAAAAAUAAGAAUUAAUUAAAACACAAUCGAGGCUUAGCUUAAAAAUGAACUCUCAUUGUAAAUUUCGAUUUAAUUUAAAAAUAAAGUUUUCGAUUAAGGUUUCAACUUAAAUUAAAAAAUAAAAAAUAAAAACUUUUAUGACAUGGCUCCGUGGCAAUGAAGGGGUAGGUGGGGGUUAUAAGUGACAUUUCAUUUUAUAAAAGGGUUAUUUUUUGCCCCAAAACUCCCUGUUUGAUUGCUGAAGCCUACACGAUUUGAUUUGCCCUUCCAGAACACCAUGGAAGUUGUUGGAGAGGCUCUUCUUUCCACUGCCCUCGGCUUGCUGUUUGACAAGUUGGCUUCCUCUGAUCUUAUUAAGUUCGCCCGGCAGGAGGAUGUCCACACCGAACUCAAGAAAUGGGAGAAGGAGUUGCAGAGCAUCCGGCAAGAGCUCAACGACGCGGAGGAGAAGCAGAUCACAGAUGAGGCUGUCAAAUUAUGGCUGUUUGAUCUGAGGGUUUUGGCGUAUGAUAUGGAGGAUGUCUUGGACGAGUUUGCUUACGAAUUGAUGAGAAGAAAGCUGAUGGGGGCGGAAGUUGAUGAAGCCAGCACAAGCAUGGUACGCAAGUUCAUUCCUACGUGCUGCACUAGUUUCAGUCCAACUCAUGUUGUGCGUAAUGUCAAGAUGGGGUCUAAGAUUAGAGGGAUCACAAGCAGAUUGCAAGACAUUUCAGCUAGAAAAGCUGGACUUGGCCUGGAAAAGGCGGCAGGAGGAGCUACUUCCGCUUGGCAAAGGCCACCACCCACUACACCUAUAGCAUACGAACCUGGCGUUUAUGGCAGGGAUGAAGAUAAAAAAGCGAUUCUUGAUUUGCUGCGCAAGGUUGGGCCCAAGGAAAACAGUGUUGGCGUCAUUUCCAUUGUUGGCAUGGGCGGUCUGGGCAAGACAACACUUGCACGACUGGUUUACAACGAUGAAAUGGCCAAAAAUUUUGACCUAAAAGCGUGGGUUUGUGUGUCUGACGUGUUUGAUGUGGAGAAUAUAACAAAAGCAAUUCUCAAUUCGGUGGAAAGUUCUGAUGCAAGCGGCUCGUUGGACUUCCAACAAGUUCAAAAGAAAUUGACAGACGAGUUGACAGGGAAAAAGUUUUUACUCAUUCUAGACGAUGUGUGGAACGAAGAUUCUGAUAAUUGGGAUCGAUUGCGUGCCCCUUUGAGUGUAGGGGCAAAAGGAAGCAAAGUCAUAGUUACAACACGCAAUAAAAAUGUUGCUUUGAUGAUGGGAGCUGCCGAGAAUCUUCAUGAACUAAACCCCUUGUCAGAAGACGCUUGUUGGUCUGUGUUUGAGAAGCACGCAUUUGAACAUAUAAAUAUGGAAGAUCAUCCAAACUUGGUGUCCAUUGGGAGGAAAAUUGUUGGCAAGUGUGGGGGAUUGCCCCUAGCAGCAAAAGCCCUUGGUGGUCUCUUACGCUCUAAACAGAGGGAAGAAGAAUGGGAAAGAGUAUCGAAUAGCAAAAUUUGGGAUUUUUCAAGCACGGAAUGUGAGAUUCUUCCUGCGUUGCGGUUGAGCUAUCACUAUCUCCCGUCAUAUUUGAAGAGGUGUUUUGCAUACUGUGCCAUGUUCCGCAACGACUAUGAGUUUGACUCAAAAACUUUGGUCCUCCUGUGGAUGGCUGAAGGUUUAAUUCAGCAACCAAUCGCUGACAACCGCACAAUGGAAGAUCUAGGAGACGACAAUUUUUGUGAAUUAUUGUCAAGGUCAUUUUUUCAAUCAUCAGGUAUCGAUGAAUUCCGUUUUGUGAUGCAUGAUCUUAUCUGUGAUCUAGCUCGAGUUGCUUCUGGUGAAAUAUGCUUUUGUUUGGAAGAUAACUUGGAAAGUAAUCGACAAUCCACAAUUUCCAAAGAGACUCGUCAUUUAUCAUUCAUUCGUGGAAAAUUCGAUGUGUUAAAGAAAUUUGAAGCCUUUCAAGAGUUAGAACAUUUACGAACAUUUGUGGCUUUACCAAUUCAUGGUACGUUUACAGAAUCUUUUGUAACUAGUUUGGUGUGUGAUCAUUUGGUGCCAAAAUUUCAACAGUUAAGAGUCCUCUCUUUGAGUGAAUAUGUGAUAUUUGAGCUACCAGAUUCUAUUGGUGGAUUAAAACAUCUACGUUAUUUGAAUUUGUCUUUCACCCAAAUCAAAUUAUUGCCAGAUUCAGUGACCAAUCUCUAUAAUUUACAAACAUUGAUACUAUCCAAUUGCAAGCAUCUUACAAGGUUGCCUUCCAACAUUGGAAAUUUAAUUAGCCUUAGACAUCUCGAUGUUGUUGGAUGUUCAUUGCAAGAGAUGCCACAGCAAAUAGGCAAAUUAAAGAAAUUGCAAACCUUGUCAGAUUUUAUUGUGGCCAAACGAGGAUUUUUGGGAAUAAAGGAGUUGAAGGAUUUGUCAAAUCUGCGGGGGAAGAUAUGCAUUUCAAAAUUGGAAAAUGUUGUGGAUGUUCAAGAUGCUAGAGAUGCCAAUCUAAACACUAAGCUCAAUGUUGAAAACUUGAGUAUGAUUUGGAGUAAAGAAUUGGUUGAUUCACAUAAUGAAGACACUGAAAUGGAAGUCCUCCUCUCUCUACAACCUCAUACCAAUCUGAAGGAACUCAGGAUUGAAUAUUAUGGUGGUCGAAAAUUCCCAAACUGGAUGUGUGAUCCCUCUUACACUAAAUUGGUUGCGUUAAGUCUUAUUGGUUGUAUAAGAUGCAUAUCACUACCUUCCGUUGGGCAACUACCCCUCCUCAAGAAGUUAGUCAUCAAAAAAAUGGAUGGAGUGAAAAGUGUGGGACUGGAGUUUGAGGGUCAAGUUUCUCUUCAUGCUACGCCUUUCCAAUGCUUAGAGUCUUUGUGGUUUGAGGAUAUGAAGGGAUGGGAAGAGUGGUGUUGGUCAACAAAGUCAUUUUCUCGCCUCCGUCAGUUGGAGAUAAAAAAUUGUCC